rnacentral:tRNA from 1 species
AAAUAAGAAACAAUUACUUGUAUUUAGUUUCGACCUAAAAUUUUGAUGAACUUCAUCCUUAUUUU